rnacentral:rRNA from 1 species
AGAGCGAACGCUGGCGGCAGGCUUAACACAUGCAAGUCGAGCGGGCGUAGCAAUACGUCAGCGGCAGACGGGUGAGUAACGCGUGGGAACAUACCUUUUGGUUCGGAACAACACAGGGAAACUUGUGCUAAUACCGGAUAAGCCCUUACGGGGAAAGAUUUAUCGCCGAAAGAUCGGCCCGCGUCUGAUUAGCUAGUUGGUGGGGUAAUGGCCCACCAAGGCGACGAUCAGUAGCUGGUCUGAGAGGAUGAUCAGCCACAUUGGGACUGAGACACGGCCCAAACUCCUACGGGAGGCAGCAGUGGGGAAUAUUGGACAAUGGGCGCAAGCCUGAUCCAGCCAUGCCGCGUGAGUGAUGAAGGCCCUAGGGUUGUAAAGCUCUUUUGUGCGGGAAGAUAAUGACGGUACCGCAAGAAUAAGCCCCGGCUAACUUCGUGCCAGCAGCCGC